AACGCAGCAAAGGGCGAUACGUAAUGUGAAUUGCAGAAUUCAGUGAAUCAUCGAAUCUUUGAACGCACAUUGCGCUCUCUGGUAUUCCGGAGAGCAUGCUUGUUUGAGUAUCAGUAAACACCCUCAGUUCCUAUUCUCUUUUGAGAGUUAGGGACUGGACUUGAGCAGUCCCAACGUCAGAAGACUUGUUCUACUGUCGGCGGGUUGCUUAAAAUGCAGGUGCGGCAGGACACAUCUUCUGAGACUAAAAGCAUUACUUAUUUAGUCCCGUCAGACGGACUAUUACUAUUGCUGCAGCUAAGAUAUUAAAGGUCGAUUGUCCUUAUUGCCCCGACUGAUGCAGGAAUUGUCAGAGGACUCUUUGUCCUCUGUUCAACUCGAUCUCAAAUCAAGUAAGACUACCCGCUGAACUUAA
rnacentral:rRNA from 1 species